GGCGGACGGGUGAGUAACGCGUAGGAAUCUGCCUAGUAGAGGGGGACAACAUGUGGAAACGCAUGCUAAUACCGCAUACGCCCUACGGGGGAAAGGAGGGGAUCUUCGGACCUUCCGCUAUUAGAUGAGCCUGCGUAAGAUUAGCUAGUUGGUAGGGUAAAGGCCUACCAAGGCGACGAUCUUUAACUGGUCUGAGAGGAUGGCCAGUCACACUGGGACUGAGACACGGCCCAGACUCCUACGGGAGGCAGCAGUGGGGAAUAUUGGACAAUGGGCGGAAGCCUGAUCCAGCCAUGCCGCGUGUGUGAAGAAGGCCUUAGGGUUGUAAAGCACUUUCAGGAGUGAGGAAGGGCGUUUGGUUAAUACCCAAAUGUUUUGACGUUAGCUCCAGAAGAAGCACCGGCUAACUCUGUGCCAGCAGCCGCGGUAAUACAGAGGGUGCAAGCGUUAAUCGGAAUUACUGGGCGUAAAGCGCGC
rnacentral:rRNA from 1 species